rnacentral:lncRNA from 1 species
UGGCAGGUGACCCAUGGUUUUUCCACAUUAGGCACAAACACAAGACUGUCCUUCAGCUUUCCAUUCCAGGAGCUGUUCCUAGGACUGCCUCUGCAAUUUGCCUGUAAGAGUCAGUAAGGAAAGCAGGUGCCCAUCUGAUUGCCUUCUCUGCCCUCAGUCACAUUGCCCGCCACACACUGGAUCAGAAGCUGUCCUCAACACAGACCACAAAGUGGCUGACUUCGUUAUUCAGACCUGCAGAGCAACUAAAUUAGAUCCCUACCAGACAAGGCACCUUGGACUUUCAAUUCUAUUCAGACUUGAACGAGAGAAUUUCAGAACUGAAGGGACCUUCAUGGAGGACUAGAGGAGUGGCUUUCUUCUGUAAAGCCCUAAGCAAAAAACGAAGAAAGUGUGUUGCCAAGAAGCAGAAAAGGAUAGGCAUUUUUCAUGUGACUUCGUUUAAAGCACUAUUAACUUUCAACAUUGGUGAGGUAAAUAUUACUAUUUCAACUUUAAAGAUUCUGAGAUUGAACAUGAGAGAGGUUAGGUAACUUGACUGAGGUCAUCUAGCCAGUAAAGUGUCUGACUAGAAAUUUGUAUCCAGAUCACCUGGCUGGUCUUGAUGACUCCAACCAAGCCUUUCCCAUCGUGCCAAGUAUAGAUAUCACUUGGCUUAUCAUGAUUUCUGGGCAGUAUGCAUCUUAUGAAACACAGUCUAACUUGGAUUUUAAAAAGGGUGAAAAGAAGUAAAGAAUGGGAGGUUUCAAGCUGGAGAGACAACUUUGGAUAAAGUACAGUAGUCCUCACUUACCUGAGGGCAUAUAUUCCAAGAUCCUUAGUGGAUGCC